CACGUAUAAAAAGCGCCGUGUGCUCGUGGCGGUCAGGACCUGGUCUUUGUGGACGCUACUCUGUGGGGCCUGCACAGUAUUAGAAUCUAAAUCUCUGCUACCAGACGGGACAGCAUGGCUCUCAACAAGCCCGACCUGCUGGGACCGUGGAAGAUCACGGUGUACGACCAGGAGAACUUCCAGGGCAAGCGGAGGGACUUCACCUCCUCCUGCCAGACCUUGGCGCAGUGCGGCAUGGACAACAUUCGCUCCCUGAAGGUGGAAUGUGGAGCUUGGACCGGAUAUGAACACUCCAGCUUCUGUGGACAGCAAUUUGUGUUGGAGAGAGGAGAAUAUCCUCGUUGGGAGUCUUGGAGCGGCAGCAACGCCUACCACACUGAGAGGAUGGCGUCCUUCCGCCCCAUCUGCUGCGCUGACCGCAAGGAGUCCAAGAUUGUGGUGUAUGAGAAGGACAACUUUGUGGGACGGCAGUGGGAGAUAAGCGACGACUGCCCGUCACUGCAGGCCAUGGGCUGGGGGACCAAUGAGAUCGGGUCCAUGAAGGUCCAGAGCGGCGCAUGGGUGUGCUACCAGUUCCCUGGUUACCGCGGUUACCAGUACGUCAUGGAGUGCGACCGGCAUGGCGGCGAGUACAAACAUUACAGGGAAUGGGGCUCCCACGCUCAGUCUUUUCAGGUGCAGUCGCUGCGUCGCAUCCAGCAGUGAGACCUGACCAUUCCUUUAAAAAUCAUCCUCCCCGUUAAGCAUUCUAGUACCACUUACUUAAUGCUUCCCCUUAUAAGCAUUCUAGUACCCCUUACUUAAUGCUUCCCCUAUAAGCAUUCCAGUACCCCCUUACUUAAUGCUUCCCCUUAUAAGCAUUCCAGUACACCCUUACUUAAUGCUUCCCCUAUAAGCAUGCCAGUCCCCCUUACUUAAUGCUUCCUCUAUAAGCAUUCUAGUACCCCUUACUUAAUGCUUCCCUUAUAAGCAUUCCAGUCCCACUUACUUAAUGCUUCCCCUAUAAGCAUUCCAGUCCCCCUUACUUAAUGCUUCCCCUACAAGCAUGCCAGUACUCCCUUACGUAAUUGCUUCCCCUAUAAGCAUUCUAGUAGCCCACUUACUUAAUGCUUCCCCUAUAAGCAUUCCAGUACUCCCUUACGUAAUUGCUUCCCCUAUAAGCAUUCUAGUAGCCCACUUACUUAAUGCUUCCCCUAUAAGCAUUCCAGUACCCACUUACUUAAUGAUUCCCUUAUAAGCAUUCCAGUACCCCCUUACUUAAUGCUUCCCCUUAUAAGCAUUCUAGUCCCACUUACUUAAUGCUUCCCCUAUAAGCAUUCCAGUACUCCCUUACGUAAUUGCUUCCCCUAUAAGCAUUCUAGUAGCCCACUUACUUAAUGCUUCCCCUAUAAGCAUUCCAGUACCCACUUACUUAAUGCUUCCCCUAUAAGCAUUCCAGUCCCACUUACUUAAUGCUUCCCCUAUAAGCAUUCCAGUACCCCCUUACUUAAUGCUUCCCCUAUAAGCAUUCUAGUAGCCCACUUACUUAAUGCUUCCUCUAUAAGCAUUCUAGUACCCCUUACUUAAUGCUUCCCCUACAAGCAUUCCAGUAGCCCCUUACUUAAUGCUUCCCCUAUAAGCAUUCCAGUACUCCCUUACGUAAUUGCUUCCCCUAUAAGCAUUCUAGUAGCCCACUUACUUAAUGCUUCCCCUAUAAGCAUUCCCGUACCCCCUUACUUAAUUUCUUCCCCUACAAGCAUUCUAGUACCCCACUUACUUAAUUAUUCCCAUAUAAGCAUUCCAGUACGCACUGGUGUCUUUAGAUGUCUGUGAAGUUAAGAUGUCACCAAAAUGGACGAGUAUAUAAUAAAGAGUCUGAUGCUAA